rnacentral:lncRNA from 1 species
UCGGGGGUCUAUUUGGAAACAGCCUCUCUACCCCAGGGUAGAGGUAAGGUCUGCGUACAUACUACCCUCCCCAGACCCCACUAUGUGGAAUUAUACCCUUGUUGUUGUUGUUAUUGUUGUUGAACCAUUUUAGUACUAAAUUUCCCAAAAUUUGACACCAACGAAUUUAACUUCAAAUUUACUCAUGGGGGCGACGAGAAGAUAAAAGUAAAUCAGGCAUAUCAAACUUUAAUUUCUCAGUUUUGAUUUGCAAACUUAAAUAGUCUCGCCAACUUGAGUUUGAGAGCGCGUAUUUAAUUGUAGUAUAGUUACACAGGAUAUCAACAACAUAAAUCAGGCAUAUCAAACUUUAAUUUGCAAACUUAAAUAGUCUCACCAACUUCAGUUUGAGAGUGCGUGUUAAAAGUCAAAUAAUCAAAUAAAUUAUAUCCUAAAAACUACGUCUAGAUUCAUUUAACUGUGAGUAGAGAAUAUUAUGAAGGUUAUUAUAUAGGAUGUGUAGAAUAUUUUGCAUUUAAUUGUAGUAAAGUUACAUAUGAUAUCGAGAAAACUUAAUUGUUACGUAUCUCGUUAGAUACAGAGAAUAACAACUUGAGGAGCAGCCUAUGAACCUUGUAUAAGGAGCUCUUUGUGUAUAUUCUUACUCACUUAAUGCAAGACAAAAGAAUUUCUUUUAAUUUUUUCAAUUUCUACAUAGCCGGUAUAAUCUUAGUAGAAUUUUAAGUAGCUUCUGCUGAGGAGUAGCUAUAGCCGCUUGAGAGAGGACAACAUCGGUUGCCAACCUGGAGGCAACAUUCGGCCAACACUUUUCUUCUUUCCUUUCCUCCUUUUGGCACCAUCACUUUUCCAACGACCAGAUUCAUUCCUCUCUACGGUUACAACACCAUCCUCCAUCUCAAGUGACUGGAGCUACUCCUCUUGUACAUUGUUAAUUAACCAAAGAAGUUUUCCAUUUUUUGCAAUCUAAAGAUGGCCUUCUUUAACAUUGUCUCUGACUAUAGAUGGAGCUAGGAUUUCUUUUCAUGGCUUUGGCCCAUUUGAGACGUGUUUUAACUAUUCACUUCAAUUGGCAUCUCUAAUAAACAAAAUGGCACAAGAAAAUCUUGUGUUUCUUAACUACUUUGCAGUCUCAUAUUAGUCAUGUAGCAACAGAAAAUGCUUAGCAGUACAAAGUUAGCAAUACGGUAAACUAUUUCUAGUACGGUCCAGCUCACAGUUAUGGUCACAACAUAGGCAAAAGUCAUAUUUAGAACCAGCAAAAAGGCUAAAAUUGAUUUUAAAUGAGGAGAGUCUCUCUUGAACUUUUGACUGGUAAAAGGAAUCUCAAAAAAUACGAACAAGGAGUCAAUGGAGA